rnacentral:rRNA from 1 species
AUUGAACGCUGGCGGCAGGCCUAAAACAUGCAAGUCGAACGAGUGGCGGACGGGUGAGUAAUGUCUGGGAAACUGCCUGAUGUAGGGGGAUAACGAGUGGAAACGGUAGCUAAUACCGCAUACCAUCGUAUGUGCCCAGAUGGGCUUAGCUAGGCGGUGGGGUAAAGGCUCACAAAGGCGACGAGCCAUAGCUGGUCUGCGAGGAUUACCGGACACACGGGAACUGGGACACGGCCCAGCCUCCUACGGGAGGCAGCAGUGGGGAAUAUUGCACAAUGGGCGAAAGCCUGAUGCAGCCACGCCGCGUGUAUGAAGAAGGCCUUCGGUUUGUAAAGCACUGUCGGCGGAGAGGCGGUACCCGAAGAAAAAGCACCGGCUAACUCCGUGCCAGCAGCCGCGGUAAUAC